rnacentral:tRNA from 1 species
GCCGGAGUGGCGGAAUCGGCAGACGCGCUGGAUUCAAAAUCCAGUGGGGGUAAACCCCGUGCGGGUUCAAGUCCCGCCUCCGGUACUA